rnacentral:rRNA from 1 species
GAUGAACGCUAGCGGCAGGCCUAAUACAUGCAAGUCGAACGGUGUCUUCGGACAUAGUGGCGCACGGGUGCGUAACACGUAUGCAACCUACCUUACAUUGGGGGAUAACCUUUCGAAAGGGAGAUUAAUACCGCAUAAGACAGUAGCUGGGCAUCCAGCAGCUGUUAAAGAUUUAUCGAUGUAAGCUGGGCAUGCGUCCAAUUAGCUAGUUGGUGAGGUAACGGCUCACCAAGGCAAUGAUUGGUAGGGGAACUGAGAGGUCAAUCCCCCACCGUGGCAAUGGGAUACGGGCCAGACUCCAACGGGAGGCAGCAGUAGGGAAUAUUGGGCAAUGGACGCAAGUCUGACCCAGCCAUGCCGCGUGCAGGAUGAAGGCGUUAUGCGUUGUAAACUGCUUUUAUACAGGAAGAAAAGACUCUUGCGAGAGGCAUUGACGGUACUGUAUGAAUAAGCACCGGCUAACUCCGUGCCAGCCGCCGCGGUAAAAC